rnacentral:lncRNA from 1 species
UUGUAUGAUGAAAUUCUGUUGCUGGAUAAACUGUAAUUUCUCAAUCUCUCACCAUUGUGCAGAGCAAAUGAAUUUUAGUAAUAUUUUAAACAUCUCAUCUGGAUUAUUUUAACAUUCCAUAGGUUAUACUGUCAUUUUUAAUCCAUUGGCAUUCUUUAUAAAUUAGAAGUUUAUUCUAGAAAAUAUAAAGGUUGAAUAUUGCAUUAUUGUACUGUUCUCUAAAUGUCAGUUUCACAAAACCAUUUUUUAAAAAUUUUAAUUUGUUAUAUAUGACAACACAAUGCAUUACAAUUCAUAUUACACAUAUAAAGCACAAUUUUUCAUAUCUCUGAUUGUUCACACAGUUGUUGUAAAGGCUUAUUUAAAAGCUUUUGACUUGUAUCUUUUUGGUAAAAAUCAUCAUAAAGGUUUCUCUUAGUUAAUGCAUUUUGAUAAAUGUAACUGCAUGGGUGAAUCUCAAAUUAUGCAGGAGCCAGAGUAUGAAAUGUGAAAGGAGGCAGAGUAUAAUCUAUAUAAUUACAUUUAUAUGAAAUGUAAAUUUCAUAGAAAAUUCUCACCCAUCUGUAAUGACAGAAAGCAGAUCAUUGUUAGGGGAUCAGGGUGUUUGGAUGGGAAAGGAUACUUUGGAGGGACUACAUAGAAGCACAAGGACACUUUUG